AUUGAACGCUGGUGGCAUGCUUAACACAUGCAAGUCGGACGGUAACAGGUGUAGCUUGCUACAUGCUGACGAGUGGCGGACGGGUGAGUAAUGUAUAGGGAUCUGCCUUAUGGAGGGGGAUAGCGCAGGGAAACUUGAGGUAAUACCGCGUAAGACCGGAAGGUGGAAGGGGGCGAAAGCGCUCGCCAUAAGAUGAGCCUAUAUUGGAUUAGCUAGUAGGUAGGGUAAAGGCCGACCUAGGCAACGAUCCAGAGCUGUUCUGAGAGGAAGGACAGCCACACUGGGACUGAGACACGGCCCAGACUCCUACGGGAGGCAGCAGUGGGGAAUAUUGGACAAUGGGGGCAACCCUGAUCCAGCAAUGCCAUGUGUGUGAAGAAGGCCUUCGGGUUGUAAACCCCUUUCAGGAGGGACGAAGCCCGGGCGGUUAAUAGCCGACCCGGGUGACGGUACCUCCAGAAGAAGCCCCGGCUAACUACGUGCCAGCCGCCGCGGUAAUAC
rnacentral:rRNA from 1 species